rnacentral:rRNA from 1 species
AAUGGCUCAUUAAAACAGUUAUAGUUUAUUUGAUAGUCAUCUGAGAUGAAAGUCUACUACAUGGAUAACCGUGGUAAUUCUAUGGCUAAUACAUGCGCAAAUAUCCUUUUUCGCAAGGAAGAGGAUAGUGUUUAUUAGAUACAGAACCAAUACACCAGUGUCACAGCUGGUGUGAAAAAGGUGAUUCAUAGUAACCGAACGGAUCGCAUUAUGGUCAUUCUUUUGUAAUGGCUGGCGAUAGAUCAUUCAAGUUUCUGACCUAUCAGCUUUCGACGGUAGUGUAUUGGACUACCGUGGCAGUGACGGGUAACGGGGAAUUAGGGUUCGAUUCCGGAGAGGGAGCCUGAGAAACGGCUACCACAUCUAAGGAAGGCAGCAGGCGCGCAAAUUACCCAAUCCUGACUCAGGGAGGUAGUGACAAGAAAUAACAACACUGGAAAUUUUAUUUCUAGUGAUUGGAAUGAUGGGAAUUUAAACCCCUUUCAGAGUAACAAUUGGAGGGCAAGUCUGGUGCCAGCAGCCGCGGUAAUUCCAGCUCCAAUAGCGUAUAUUAAAGUUGUUGCAGUUAAAAAGCUCGUAGUUGGAUGUCUGCUGGAAGCAAUCAGUCCGCCCUAUUUGUAGGGUGUGCACUUGAUGAAUUCUGGCAUUUUUGUCCCAAUGAUGUAACGGGGCGGUGGUACUCGGUGAAAGCCGAGUAUCCUGUUUUCCGAUUAUUGGGAUACUGUUACUUUGAGAAAAUUAGAGUGUUUGAAGCAGGCUAAUUGCCUUGAAUACUGCAGCAUGGAAUAACAAUAUAGGAUUUCGGUUCUAUUUUGUUGGUUUCUAGGACUGAAAUAAUGAUUAAUAGGGACAGUUGGGGGCAUUCGUAUUUAACUGUUCAGAGG